GACGAACGCUGGCGGCGUGCCUAAUACAUGCAAGCAGAACGCUGAAGGAGGAGCUUGCUUCUCUGGAUGAGUUGCGAACGGGUGAGUAACGCGUAGGUAACCUGCCUGGUAGCGGGGGAUAACUAUUGGAAACGAUAGCUAAUACCGCAUAAGAGUAGAUGUUGCAUGACAUUUGCUUAAAAGGUGCAAUUGCAUCACUACCAGAUGGACCUGCGUUGUAUUAGCUAGUUGGUGAGGUAACGGCUCACCAAGGCAACGAUACAUAGCCGACCUGAGAGGGUGAUCGGCCACACUGGGACUGAGACACGGCCCAGACUCCUACGGGAGGCAGCAGUAGGGAAUCUUCGGCAAUGGACGGAAGUCUGACCGAGCAACGCCGCGUGAGUGAAGAAAGGUUUUCGGGAUCGUGAAAGCUUCUGUUGUAAAGAGAAAGAAACGAAGUGU
rnacentral:rRNA from 1 species